GACGAACGCUGGCGGCGUGCCUAAUACAUGCAAGUCGAACGCAGUGGGGACGGGUGAGUAACACGUGGGUAACCUCCCAUCAGAGGGGAUAACACUUGGAAACCGGUGCUAAACCGAUAUUGAAGGAUGGACCCGCGGUGCAUUCGCUAGUUGGUGAGGUAACGGUUCACCAAGGCCACGAUGCAUAGCCGACCGGAGAGUGUGAUCGGCAACACGGGGACUGCGACACGGCCCAGAAUCCUACGGGAGGCAGAAGUGGGGAAUGUUCGGCAAUGGACGAAAGUCUUACCGAGCAACGCCGCGUGAGUGAAGAAGGUUUUCGGAUCGUAAAACUCUGUUGUUAGAGAAGCGGUAUCUAACCAGAAAGCCACGGCUAACUACGUGCCAGCAGCCGCGGUAAUUC
rnacentral:rRNA from 1 species